CAGGGGUGCAGAGACUUUGAUGUCCUCUGCCUCUCGGAACCUAGGCAGGGUUGGGAGUCCCUAGCCAGUUGUCUUGACUGCUUUCCUUUAUGUUCUAUGCAGGUAUUAUCAUUUUCCAUCUGUGCUACCAUGUGAAAAAUGUUGGGAAACUCUACUGGAAACUGACCUCGCUCUUGGGACCCACCCUGCCAGGCAAAAGAGCAGCGUGUCCAAGGGCUCUACAACCCUAUCCUGCAAGAUCUGGGAAAUGGAGAAAAACUAUCUGCGAGGCCCCACUUGAAGUCUUUUGUUUGGGACUCUUGAUUGCUUGCUCUUUCAUUAUGUGCCUUUGUAUCAGAAGGAAGUUGUAAUGGAAUUUUGCCAUGGCUGGAGUUCACAGUGGAUUUCGCCCUGGGUGGUGGUUUUAAGUAAAUUUAACCACAGGUCUAUAAUUGGCUUGCUGGAAUUAUAACCUGAAAGUUCCCUGCAGGGCUUGGCAUCAGACUCCUGGCAUUCUUUGUAUACUCUACCCUUAAGCACUAUGCAAGCAACCCCAGCUCUGGAUCCUGGGACU
rnacentral:lncRNA from 10 species